rnacentral:rRNA from 1 species
CCCUUAAAUGUCCUGGGCCGCACGCGCGCUACACUGAGUGUCUGAGAUACGAGUCUGCCUGGUCCGGCAAGGUCUAGGUAAUCGCUAAAAGACACAUCAUGCUUGGGAUAGAUUAUUGCAAAUAUUAAUCUUGAACGAGGAAUUCCUAGUAAGCGCAAGUCAACAGCUUGCGUUGAUUACGUCCCUGCCCUUUGUACACACCGCCCGUCGCUACUACUGAUUGGAUGUUUAAGCGAGGUUCUCGAACUGCUAGCGACUUAGCUUCGGUGAGGUCGCAGUGUGGGAAGUGAACCGAGCUUUGGUGUCUAGAGGAAGUAAAAGUCGUAACA